rnacentral:rRNA from 1 species
CCUACGGGAUGCACCAGUGGGGAAUUUUCCGCAAUGGGCGAAAGCCUGACGGAGCAACGCCGCGUGGAGGUAGAAGGCCCACGGGUCGUGAACUUCUUUUCCCGGAGAAGAAGCAAUGACGGUAUCUGAGGAAUAAGCAUCGGCUAACUCUGUGCCAGCAGCCGCGGUAAUACAGAGGACGCAAGCGUUAUCCGGAAUGAUUGGGCGUAAAGCGUCUGUAGGUGGCUUUUUAAGUCCGCCGUCAAAUCCCAGGGCUCAACCCUGGACAGGCGGUGGAAACUACCAAGCUGGAGUACGGUAGGGGCAGAGGGAAUUUCCGGUGGAGCGGUGAAAUGCGUAGAGAUCGGAAAGAACACCAACGGCGAAAGCUCUCUGCUGGGCCGACACUGACACUGAGAGACGAAAGCUAGGGGAGCGAAUGGGAUUAGAUACCCUAGUAGUC